AAGAAACCGUGUGCUUUAUACAUUAUAAAUUCAUCAAAUCCUUUUUAUUUGUUUCAAGCAAAAGGGAAAAAUAUGGCUAAAGUUACUAAAUUUGUUUAUAUUACCAUACACGUUCUUUCACUAUUUUUCAUUACAAUGAAUGUUGCCGCAAUUCCUAAAUGCGUGAGGACUCUGAUUGUGUAUCAAAAAUUAUCUGUGUGCUUUCUCAAAAACCACUAUGUAGGAAUCAUAUAUGUGUUUGUUAUAAGUUAAAUAGAUAGAUAUCUCUGAUUCUUUCAAAUGUUCCAUGACAUAUAAUUUAACUAAUGAUUUGGCAUUCAAUAAUUGAAUUUUAUUUUGAAUUUA